GGAAUUUUGCGCAAUGGGGGAAACCCUGACGCAGCAACGCCAUGUGUGGGAUGAAGCAUUUCGGUGUGUAGACCACUGUCGGCAGGGAAUAAAGCCCACAUUUAUGUGGGGGUGAAGGUACCUGCAGAGGAAGCCCCGGCUAACUUCGUGCCAGCAGCCGCGGUAAUACGAGGGGGGCAAGUGUUGUUCGGAAUCACUGGGCGGAAAGGGAGCGUAGGCGGAUGCUUAAGUUGGAUGUUUAAAACCGGGGCCCAACCUCGGAGCGGCAUCCAAAACUGGGCAUCUCGAAUGGAACAGAGGCUAGUGGAAUUGGGGGUGUAGCGGUGGAAUGCGUAGAGAUCCCCAAGAACACCAAUUGCGAAGGCAGCUAGCUGGGUUCACAUUGACGCUGAGGCUCGAAAGCAUGGGGAGCAAA
rnacentral:rRNA from 1 species